rnacentral:rRNA from 1 species
AGAGUUUGAUCCUGGCUCAGAACGAACGCUGGCGGCGCGUUUUAAGCAUGCAAGUCGAGGGGUAGAGUGCCUUCGGGCACUUGAGACCGGCGGACGGGUGAGUAACACGUAGGUAAUCUACCUGAGGGUUGGGGAUAGCCCAUGGAAACAUGGGGUAAAACCGAAUAAGUCUUGCACCACAGAAGUGGAGUAAGGGAAAGGCGCUUAGGCGCUGCCCACAGAUGAGCCUGCGGCCCAUUAGNUUAGUUGGUGGGGUAACGGCCUACCAAGGCAACGAUGGGUAGCCGGCCUGAGAGGGUGAUCGGCCACACUGGGACUGAGACACGGCCCAGACUCCUACGGGAGGCAGCAGCUAAGAAUCUUCCGCAAUGGACGAAAGUCUGACGGAGCGACGCCGCGUGUGUGAUGAAGGCGGAAACGUUGUAAAGCACUUUUCUUGGGGAAGAAUAAGGAGGGGAGGUAAUGCCCCUCUGAUGACACGAACCGAGGAAUAAGCCCCGGCUAAUUACGUGCCAGCAGCCGCGGUAACACGUGAGGGGCAAGCGUUGUUCGGAAUUAUUGGGCGUAAAGGGCGUGUAGGCGGCCUGGUAAGUCUGGUGUGAAAGACCGCAGCUUAACUGCGGGACCGCGCUGGAAACUAUCAGGCUGGAGUCUAAGAGGGGGAACUGGAAUUCCAGGUGUAGGGGUGAAAUCUGUAGAUAUCUGGAAGAACACCGGAGGCGAAGGCGAGUUCCUGGCUAUAGACUGACGCUGAGGCGCGAAAGCGUGGGGAGCGAACAGGAUUAGAUACCCUGGUAGUC